CCUACGGGCGGCAGCAGUGGGGAAUAUUGCACAAUGGGGGAAACCCUGAUGCAGCGACGCCGCGUGAGUGAAGAAGUAUUACGGUAUGUAAAACUCUAUCAGCAGGGAAGAAAAUGACGGUACCUGAUUAAGAAGCCCCGGCUAAAUACGUGCCAGCAGCCGCGGUAAUAAGUAGGGGGCAAGCGUUAUCCGGAUUUAAUGGGUGUAAAGGGGGCGUAGACGGCAGCACAAGUCUGGAGUGAAAUGCCGGGGCUUAACCCCGGAACUGCUUUGGAAACUGUGCAGCUAGAGUGCAGGAGAGGUAAGUGGAAUGCCUAGUGUAGCGGUGAAAUGCGUAGAUAUUAGGAGGAACACCAGUGGCGAAGGCGGCUUACUGGACUGUAACUGACGUUGAGGCUCGAAAGCGUGGGGAGCAAACAGGAUUAGAUACCCGAGUAGUC
rnacentral:rRNA from 1 species